rnacentral:rRNA from 1 species
AUUGAACGCUGGCGGUAGGCCUAACACAUGCAAGUCGAACGGCAGCACAGUAAGAGCUUGCUCUUACGGGUGGCGAGUGGCGGACGGGUGAGGAAUACAUCGGAAUCUACUUUUUCGUGGGGGAUAACGUAGGGAAACUUACGCUAAUACCGCAUACUACCUACGGGUGAAAGCAGGGGAUCUUCGGACCUUGCGCGAUUGAAUGAGCCGAUGUCGGAUUAGCUAGUUGGCGGGGUAAAGGCCCACCAAGGCGACGAUCCGUAGCUGGUCUGAGAGGAUGAUCAGCCACACUGGAACUGAGACACGGUCCAGACUCCUACGGGAGGCAGCAGUGGGGAAUAUUGGACAAUGGGCGCAAGCCUGAUCCAGCCAUACCGCGUGGGUGAAGAAGGCCUUCGGGUUGUAAAGCCCUUUUGUUGGGAAAGAAAAGCAGCAGGUUAAUACCCCGCUGUUCUGACGGUACCCAAAGAAUAAGCACCGGCUAACUCCGUG